rnacentral:lncRNA from 1 species
AUUAAUUAACCACCGCAUGAAUCAAACCACCAGAAGGAGGAUUACAUCUAUAGAACUGACCUAAAAUAUAUUCCUUCUGAUUCUCAAGACCUUGCAACAUGACAUGACUUGGAAUUGUUACUUUCGGAGUACCGUUGGAAAAUAAAAUAUUCUUUUAGAAUUUCACAAAUUUUAAUUAAUCAUAAAAUCUAAUUAAAAUAUAUUUAACAUCCCUAAAUAAAAACCUCCCUUUGGAAAUG